ensembl:lncRNA
GGGGGGGGGGGGGGGGGGGGGGGGGGGGGGGGGGGGGGGGGGGGGGGGGGGGGGGGGGGGGGGGGGGGGGGGGGGAAUUUGGGAACAACAACCCAGGGAAAAAUGGGAUUUUAAAGGAGAAAUAGGAUGGUCCCACUAAUGGGGAUUUCUGUCAUCAGCUGUAGGAGCAGCCACAAAGAUGUUUUGGAUGCUGUGUCCUCCUCAGGCCCCUCAGGUCAGGCCCUGUGGGAGCCCUCAGGGAGGGUCCCAGCCCGGGCGGGAAUUCGGGAAUUGGGGAACAACAACCCAGGGAAAAAUGGGAUUUUAAAGGAGAGCGGGAGUUUGGGAACGACACCCCGGAGAAAAACUGGAUUUUAACGGGGAAAUAAAGUGAUCCCACUAUCCCACUAUGGAGAUUUCUGCCAUCGGUUGUAAGAGCAGCCACAAGGAUGUUUUGGAUGCUGUGUCCAAGUCUGGAAUCAUCGGGACAGGAGGGACAGGGAGCAGGCCCAGCAAUAAAAAUGAUGAAAGGACUGGAGCAUCUCCCUGCCCAGGAAAGGCUGAGGGAGCUGGGGCUGUGCAGCCUUGAGAGGAGAUAAAUGAGAAGGAACCUCAUUCCUCUGUGUCCCUGUGUGUCCCUGUCCAUGAUUCUGUAAUUCUGUGAGUCUGUAAUUCUGUGAGUCUGUGAUUCUGUGAAUCUGUGAUUCCGUGAUUCUGUGAUUCUGUGAUUCUGUGAUUCUAUGAUUCUCUGAUUCUGUGAGUCUGUGAUUUUGUAAGACUGAUUCUGUAGUUCUGUGAUUUUAUGAGACUGUGAUUCCAUGAUUCUGUGAUUUUGUGGAUCUGUAAUUCUGUAAUUCUGUAAUUGUGAGUCUGUAAUUAUUGGUUUUGUGAGACUGUGAGUCUCUGAUUCUGUGAUUCUGUAAUUCCAUGAUUCUCUGAUUCUGUAGUUCUGUGAUUUUUGUGAGACUGCGAUUCCACGAUUCCACGAUUCUGUGAUUCUGUAAUUCAGUGAUUCUAUAACUCUGUGAAUCUGUAAUUCCCUCUGUGAUUCCAUGAUUCUCUGAUUCUGUGAUUCUAUGAGUCUGUGACUGAUUCUGCAGUACUGUGAUUCUGUGUGUCUGAUAUUCUGUGAUUCCAUGGCUCUGUGCUUCUAGGAUUCUGAGAGUCUUGUGAAUCCAUGACUUUGUGAUUCCAUGAUUCUGUGAUUCCAUGAUUCUGUGGUUGACUCUGACACUGUAAUUCUGUGAUUCCAUCACUCUGCAGUUCUAAGAUUCUGUGACUCCCUGAUUCUGUGAUUCUGUGAUUCCAUCACUCUGCAGUUCUGGGAUUCUGGAGUCUAUGAUUCCAUGAUUUUGUGAUUCUCACUCUGUGACUCUGAGAUCCGUGAUUCCCUGAUUCCAUCACUCUACAGUUCUGGGAUUCUGGGAGUCUGUGAUUCCAUGAUUUUGUGAUUCUCACUCUGUGACUCUGAGAUUCUGUAAUUCCAUGAUUCCACCACUAUACAGAUCUGUGAGUCUAUGAUUCCAUGAUUUUGUGGUUCUCACCCUGUGACCCUCUGAUUACAUGAUUCCACGAUUCCAUCACUCUACAGUUCUGGGAUUCUGGGGGGGGGGGGGGGGGGGGGGGGGGGGGGGGGGGGGGGGGGGGGGGGGGGGGGGGGGGGGGGGGGGGGGGGGGGGGGGGGGGG